AUUGAACGCUAGCGGCAUGCCUUACACAUGCAAGUCGAACGGCAGCGGGGGAGCUUGCUCCCGCCGGCGAGUGGCGAACGGGUGAGUAAUACAUCGGAACGUACCCAGUAGCGGGGGAUAGCCCGGCGAAAGCCGGAUUAAUACCGCAUACGCCCUACGGGGGAGAGGGGGGGAUCGCAAGACCUCUCACUAUUGGCGCGGCCGAUGGCUGAUUAGUUAGUUGGUGGGGUAAAGGCCUACCAAGGCGACGAUCAGUAGCUGGGCUGAGAGGACGACCCGCCACACUGGGACUGAGACACGGCCCAGACUCCUACGGGAGGCAGAAGUGGGGAAGUUUGGACAAUGGGCGAAAGCCGGAUCCAGCAAUGCCGCGUGUGCGAAGAAGGCCGUCGGGUUGUAAAGCACUUUUGUCGGGGAAGAAAUCGUUUGGGGUAAUACCCCGAGCAGUUGACGGUACCUGAAGAAUAAGCACCGGCUAACUACGUGCCAGCCGCCGCCGUAA
rnacentral:rRNA from 1 species